rnacentral:tRNA from 1 species
GUUUAUAUAGUUUAUACAAAAUUUUACAUUUUCAUUGUAAAGAAAAUUAUUUUUAUAAAUA